AAACCAACAGGGAUUGCCCUAGUAACGGCGAGUGAAGCGGCAACAGCUCAAAUUUGAAACCUGGCGCAAGCCCGGAUUGUAAUUUGCAGAGGAUGCUUCUGGGUAGCGGCCGUUCUAAGUUCCUUGGAACAGGACGUCAUAGAGGGUGAGAAUCCCGUAUGUGACCGGCGCGCACCCUCCACGUAGCUCCUUCGACGAGUCGAGUUGUUUGGGAAUGCAGCUCUAAAUGGGAGGUAAAUUUCUUCUAAAGCUAAAUACCGGCCAGAGACCGAUAGCGCACAAGUAGAGUGAUCGAAAGAUGAAAAGCACUUUGGAAAGAGAGUUAAAAAGCACGUGAAAUUGUUGAAAGGGAAGCGCUUGCAAUCAGACUCCGCGGCGGUGUUCCGCCGGUCUUCUGACCGGUCUACUCGCCGCCGUGGGGCCAACAUCGUCUGGGGCCGCUGGAUAAGACCGGAGGAAUGUAGCUCCUAGAGUAUUAUAGCCUCCGGUGAUGCGGCGCGUCCCGGGCGAGGUCCGCGCUUCGGCAAGGAUGUUGGCGUAAUGGUUGUCAGCGGC
rnacentral:rRNA from 1 species